UUCGUGUCCGACUAGCAAGCUAGUUCCUCUGGACUUUGUGGAUCAUUCCCGGGGUUUGCUGAAAUCUCGGUGUGGUGAAGUGGGAGGCCACAGGAAGACUCCCCAGGAUUCUGAUCUGGUAAAGAGGGAACUUGGGGCCUUCAGCACCCUUUCCUCCACAACAGUCUCCCAGAUAAACACAGUAAAUAUAAACUUUAAAAUGCAGCAUCUUCGGAGCACAUUAUUUUGUGCCCCACAAUCUAAGAAAAACAAGUCUGCUUGCUUCCAUCCCCAAAAGCCCCCUCACCCCAAAUAAACAAUGGAAACAAAAGUCGAGAGCGAGUUAUGCUAAUGCAGCUUCGAAAUUUGUUUUUGCCCACUCCCAUUAUUGCUUCCCUAACCGUUUGCUCCCCAAAUUCUGAAGCUAGGAAAUAUUUUCCAGGAAGCCAGUAAAAAUGGACUACAUCCCCGGACUGCCCCCCACCCCCAGGGGAAGGGGCUAGCGAACUUUAUAUUUAUUUUUGGUUUUGGUUUUUCCUAUCUACCUUUAUACCUGGGGGGCCAGGGAUGGAGGGGGUGAGGGAGAGAAGGAAGGCAAGUUGGUUAAAGAAAGACGCCAAGUUUCUAAAAAAACAGCUGUGCCACUUUAGGGGAGUUGGGGGGCGCGCUCUGGGUCCUACAGCCCUGGCUUGGGUGUGCCCAGAGACGCACGGCACUGACUCUACGGCCGUGGCGAGCAGCCCCUUCCCGGGGUCUCUCAGACGUAUGCCAGCUCCGGGGGCUGCGGGGACGCGGCUGGCCAGGUGUGCCCUGGCGCCAGCCGCUUGCCCAUCCGCCAGACUCACCUGUGUGUAACCUGACCCGUUGUGCGCCUAGCCCACAGGGCGGGAGAAUGAUCGCAGCGGUUUUUCCCCGUCCUCUUCCGCCCCAGCAUGGCCCUUGGGGACACAGCAGCCUGGUAACGGAUUUCUCAGUUUGGCUGGAAUACACUCUCCGCGCUCGGAGGGUGUAGAAGAGCCCGAUCUCCGGGUCUCCCCUCGAGGGGUCACCCUCUCUGGGCUCUUCCCUCUUUGGACUCCAGAUUUUCUCUGAGAUCACCCAACGAAGAAGGAAAAAGCCUUUGAGCCAGAUUCUUUUCCCAUAUAGAUUAUCACAGAAUAUUGGGUAGAGUUCCCAGUGCUAUACAGCAGGUCUGGUUGGCCACUCAUUCCGUAUACUGCAGUGUGCAUAUGCAGUUUUUGAUUGCUUUGAGGGCCGAGAUCCAAGCUGAACCAGCACUGGAGAGAAGACUCCUUCCCCCUGAGGCUGAGAGAGGAUGUGACACAAGCCCAGGGCAGGCAACCACCUUUGCCACCAGCAGCUGCCUGAGGAUGUUGCCAGCACUAAGGAAAUCAAAGCCAAGAGAUGGAGAGAGCCAGACCGAGGCCUCAGAACAGUACUGGAUCUAACCUGGCCUGAAGCAAACCCACCCCUGGGACUGUUGAAUAAAUUCUUACUCACUCUCUUGCUCAAGCCAGUGGGCACUGUGCGUUCUCACUUUCUACCAAGAGUUUCAAUUACAUACCUAAUAAAAUGACACGGGCUCACGUCUCUGCUCUCCAGUGACAUGUGGAAAAGGCAAUAUAUUCCUUCCCCAUGAACAACAAGGUGCAUCUCCCAAGGCCACCAGUUACUUGUUCGCUCACUCCUAUAAGUCGGAGGGCAUGGUUCUGUAAAUCAAACAGCAAAUCUCCAUCAUCUAGGGCUCCAUUAAUAUAUAGUUAUAGGAGUUCCCAUUGUGGCUCCGCAGGUUAAGAACCCCACA